AGAAAAGUCCAAAUUUGGGUCUUUGUGAUGGAAUUCAGGUCAGGAAGGUAAAAAUUGGGGUUUUUGUGAUAGGAUUUGGGUGAGAAAAGUCCAGAUUUGGGGUCUUUGUGGUUAGAUUUGGGUCAGAAAAGCUUAAAAUUGUGAUUUUUGUGAUGGGAUUUGGGUCAGGAAGGUGAAAAUUUGGGUCUUUGUGAUGGAUUUUGGGGUCAGGGAAGCCCAAAUUUGGGUCUUCGUAAUGGGAUUUGGUCAGGAAGGCCCAAAUUUGGGAUUUUUUGUGAUGGGAUUUGGGUCGGAAAGGCCAAAUUUGGGGGUUUUGUGAUGGGAUUUGGGUCGGGAAAGUCCAAAUUUGGGAUUUUUAUGAUGGGAUUUGGGUCAGAAAAGUCCAAGUUUGCGUCUCUGUCAUUGAUUUUGGGGUCAGAAAAGUCCAAAUUUGGGAUUUUUAUGAUGGGAUUUGGGUCAGAAAGGCCAAGUUUGGGGUUUCUGUGGUGGAAUUUGGGUCGGAAAAGUCCAAAUUUGUGGGUUUUGUGAUGGGAUUUGGGUCAGGAAGGUCCAAAUUUGGGGUCUCUGUGAUUGAUUUUGGGGUCAGAAAAGUCCAAAUUUGCAAUUUUUAUGAUGGGGUUUGGGUUACAGAAGUCCAAAUUCGGGUCUCUGAGAUGGGAUUUGGGUCAGAAAUCUUUAAAAUUGGGAUUUUUGUGAUGGGAUUUGGGUCAGAAAAGUCCAAAUUUGAGUCUCUGUGAUGGGAUUUGGGUCAGAAAAGUCCAAAUUUGGGAUUUGUAUGAUGGCAUUUGGGUCAGAAAAGUCCAAAUUUGGGGUUUUUGUGUUUGGAUUUGGGCCAGAAAAGACCAAAUUUGAGUCUCUGUGAUGGAAUACGAGUUGGAAAAGUCCAAAUUUGGGGGUUUUGUGAUGGGAUUUGGGCCAGAAAAGUCUAAAGUUGGGAUUUUUAUGAUGGGAUUUGGAUCAGAAAAGUCCAAAUUCGGGAUUUUUAUGAUGGCCUUUGGGUCAGAAAAGUCCAAAUUUGGGUUUCUGUGAUGGAAUUUGGGUCGGAAAAGUCCAAAUUUGGGGGUUUCUGUGAUGUGAUUUGGGUCGGAAAAGUCCAAAUUUGGGGGUUUUGUGAUGGGAUUUGGUCUGAAAAGUACAAAUUUGGGUAUCUUUGAUGGGGUUUGGGUCAGAAAUCCUUAAAAUUGGGAUUUUUGUGAUGGGAUUUGGUCUGAAAAGUCCAAAUUUUGUGUCUUUGUGACGAGAUUUGUGUCAGAAAGGUUUAAAAUUUGGGAUUUUUGUGAUGGGAUUUGGGUCGGGAAAGUCCAAAUUUGGGAUUUGUAUGGCGGGGUUUGGGUCAGAAUAGUCGAAAAUUGGGGUCUUUGUAACAAGAUUUGGGUCAGAAAAGUCCAAAUUUGGAUCUCUGUGAUUGAUUUUGGGGUCAGAAGAGUCCAAAUUUGGGUGUUUUGUGAUGGAAUUUGG
rnacentral:lncRNA from 1 species